rnacentral:rRNA from 1 species
UACGAAGGGGGCUAGCGUUGUUCGGAAUCACUGGGCGUAAAGGGCGCGUAGGCGGCUUGAUAAGUCGGGGGUGAAAGCCUGUGGCUCAACCACAGAAUUGCCUUCGAUACUGCUCGAGCUUGAGACCGGAAGAGGUAAGUGGAACUGCGAGUGUAGAGGUGAAAUUCGUAGAUAUUCGGAGGAACACCAGUGGCGAAGGCGGCUCACUGGUCCGGUACUGACGCUGAGGUGCGAAAGCGUGGGGAGCAAACAGG